rnacentral:misc_RNA from 1 species
GUGAAUCAUCGAAUUUUUGAACGCAAAUUGCACUCUUUGGUAUUCCGGGGAGUAUGCCGGUUGGAGGGGCAUUUAAAAUAAAAAUCGGUGUUGUUGCUGAGUUUCGGGGUGACGCCCCGGAUGUGGGUCGUCUUGCCUUCGGUUAAGGGGCCGAAAAUAUUGAAUGAUUUUUUUCGAACG